rnacentral:tRNA from 1 species
GGAGAGGUGUCCGAGUGGUCGAAGGAGCACGCCUGGAGAGCGUGUAGGCGUUUACGCGCCUCCUGGGUUCGAAUCCCAGUCUCUCCGCCA